rnacentral:rRNA from 1 species
CCUACGGGAGACAGCAGUGGGGAAUAUUGCACAAUGGGGGAAACCCUGAUGCAGCAACGCCGCGUGAAGGAAGACGGUUUUCGGAUUGUAAACUUCUGUUCUUAGUGAAGAAUAAUGACGGUACCUGACUAAGAAGCCCCGGCUAACUACGUGCCAGCAGCCGCGGUAAUACGUAGGGGGCAAGCGUUAUCCGGAUUUACUGGGUGUAAAGGGAGCGUAGACGGCUGUGCAAGUCUGAAGUGAAAGCCCGUGGCUCAACCGCGGAACUGCUUUUGAAACUGUAUAGCUUGAGUACUGGAGAGGCAGGCGGAAUUCCUAGUGUAGCGGUGAAAUGCGUAGAUAUUAGGAGGAACACCAGUGGCGAAGGCGGCCUGCUGGACAGAAACUGACGUUGAGGCUCGAAAGCGUGGGGAGCAAACAGGAUUAGAUACCCUAGUAGUC